UACGAAGGGUGCAAACGUUGCUCGGAAUCAUUGGGCGUAAAGCGCACGUAGGCGGCUUCGCAAGUCGGAUGUGAAAUCCCUCGGCUCAACCGAGGACGUGCAUCCGAAACUGCAAAGCUUGAGUACAGAAGAGGAUCGCGGAAUUCCCGGUGUAGAGGUGAAAUUCGUAGAUAUCGGGAGGAACACCAGUGGCGAAGGCGGCGAUCUGGGCUGAUACUGACGCUGAGGUGCGAAAGCGUGGGGAGCAAACAGG
rnacentral:rRNA from 1 species